rnacentral:rRNA from 1 species
AUGUUGUUUGGGCAGGCUAAGAAGAGGAAGCGUAAAGCACAAUAUUCUGCUGCUAUGAAGAGGAAGGAGGCUGAACGGACAGGAAGAAAGAUGGCUGCUGUGGCAAGAGACCGGGCAUGGGUGGAAAAGCGCAGAGCUAAAUCAGAUUGA